rnacentral:lncRNA from 1 species
GCUGCGAAGAUCUGACGAAAAUCACGUUUUUAUUCAAACAACAACAAACCAUAUAACAAUGGAUUGUAUAUUCAAGGAAGCGGAGAAGCCGAAGAUAUAAAAUGGAUAUUUCAGGUGGUCUUGGAAGAUCUGCUGGAAAGAUAUGGCGUGUUGGUCUGAUGGGGUUGAACAGUACAAAAGAUAAUGUAAAUCUUGUACUAAAAGCCUUCAAGGACGCGAUGGAAAAC